rnacentral:lncRNA from 1 species
UGUAAGCCUAUGUCCUCCCUUCUUCAUGACAGUCAUCAAUUAUGAGUCACCUCAUGCCACAUGUGUUAUAAACAAUAUUAAAUGAAGAUAAAUACUUCUAUUAACCAACAUCGUUUCCAAAACCACAUACCAAAUCAUCUAAAACAUUGCUUUUAAUAUUGUUCAUCACCCCGAAAUUAGAGUUAUUCAAGAAGUCUCAAUGUCUAUAAAUAUGAUGCAGGUAAUGAAUAAUGACAAUAAAAUACUCAAAUGAAUGCUCCAAUGAAUAACACAACUACACACCAUACGGUCCUUACUUCUGUUUAACUAAUCACUAUAUCAAACCAAAAGAACCAAUAUUUGAGUAGUAAAUAUCAUACUUAUAUCUGCAUGGCAUUUUACCAUGGUUGUGGAGCAUAGAAUCAGCAAUUGCAUCUACACAAAUGAACAUAUCACUCAAACCUACAUUAAAAGGCAAAACAGAUCAAUAAAAGUAAUAUACAGUUACAUUUAUCAUUCAUCUUAAUCAGAAGCCCAUUUGGGCACCACUCUUCACCUUAAUCGAUCAAAACCGCAAAAAAAAUAACUAAAAAAAGCUUUAAAGUAUUAAAGACCCACAAAACUUAAAGUUAAAUUACAUAUUUGGACUGAAAAUAUGAAAGCUAAAAUACACUCUGUGCUUCAAAACAAAUCAUUACAUGAAGAUAUAUAACAGGGGAGUUAAAUCACAAUAAGCCAAUCUGGAACUUAAAAAAAUAUAAUUAUAAAUAAAUAGAACUCGAAAUAAACCUUGAGUUAGUUGUUGUUGUUACUUGUGCUAUCCCGUUUUUGUAGUAGAGGGAGUGAGAGAGAGAGAGGAGAUCUGAUUCCAGAUCUAUCAAAUAUCCAUGCAGUGUGUAUGUGAAAGACAAAGAGUAACCAUGGUCAAAUACGAAAUAAUUAACCCAAAACAGCCAUCAAUAUGAAGUUUUGAGUUUAAAAAGCAAGCCAAAAUGCAAAAGCAUAACUGAUGAUAUAUGUUUGAGACGAAAUCAUGUCCAGAUCCGAAAUAAUAAACCAAAAACAGCUAUCAAUUCCUUCUACAUGAAACAGUCGACAACUUCACACUCAUAAUUAACAAAAAAAUCAUGAAAAUCUUACCUGCGUAUGUGGAUUUGUCUACAAAGAGGAGUCGAUCGUCGGUGUGCCAACUACAACGCCGACUAAGGUCGCAGAUCUUGAAAGUAGAAUGACGAUGGAGUGAUACAGAGAACAAUGUUUAUGUCGGUUGUUUUCCGGAAAGCGAGUAAGGGAUUUAAAGAUAUGCUCCUCCGCCCUUAAUAAUUACAUGUUUGUAUCAAUCAAAAGUUUAAAUCCCAAAACUCAAUUUCAUGAUUUCAAAAAAUUAUGUCACAUUUAACAGAAGAAAUGAACUAACCUUGAAUGCAAGAGCAUGAUCAGCAGCGAAGAAGAGGGAAGCAGAGACUAAAGCUGUUAUGCAUACUUUCAACAUGGAUUCUACAAAACUGAUAGGGGAAUCAUCAGUGAUUUUGUACUGGGUUCGUACCUGCUCAUGUAAUUACUCGUUUCAUGGAUGUUGGGAAGAUUAAACAUCAAACGAAUGAUAAAGAUGAAAGGGAAUGAAAAGAUACCUGCGGAGAAGAAGGGAUUUGAAGAAUUGGAGGAGAGGUUUUGGAAGGAGGGAGACAGUGAAGUUUGGAGCAACAGAGGCGUUAGAGGCAACAAGUGUUGGAGAAGAUCGUUAUAGAAUGUAUGACGAACUGUACAAGAUAGAUUAUGUUGGGGAUGAUAACAAAUCGAACCUGGGAUCCAGAGAACACAAAAAAAUUAGAAAAUCUUACAAACAAAAUUGAUAAAGAAAAUAGUAGAAGAAAAGAUUUCAAAAAACAUUAGUACCGAGGGAUCCUUUCUAUGUCAGGUUUUAGAACCUGAUUGUAGAUGCGGUUUUGAAGUGGAAAGGCAGGUGAAGGAUUCAUGAACAAUGUAGAGAGCGGCUAGGGUUUCUCAAAUGUGAGAGAGAAAGGAAGGCUUUUAGUUCCAGAUAUCCGAAAAUUUGAUUUCAAAAAGAUUUGAAUUGCCCGCCUUGGAUUAUAACAGGUUGGCAAUCCGUGUGAGUCCUUGUUUUUAAUCCCCACCAUUCGAAUAAUAUUCAACGGUUCAGAUCUGCUCUCCUUGUUUUUUAAGAUAACAUGCUUAAUUUUUUGUAUCUUAGGCUUUAAAGUUUGUACUUAAGACAUUGAUUAUGUAUGCUNU